UACGGGGGGGGUAAGCGUUGUUCGGAAUUACUGGGCGUAAAGGGCGCGUAGGCGGCCAUCUAAGUCAGACGUGAAAUCCCCCGGCUUAACCUGGGAACUGCGUCUGAUACUGGACGGCUGGAGUUUGGGAGAGGGAUGUAGAAUUCCAGGUGUAGCGGUGAAAUGCGUAGAUAUCUGGAGGAAUACCGGUGGCGAAGGCGGCAUCCUGGACCAAUACUGACGCUGAGGCGCGAAAGCUAGGGGAGCAAACGGG
rnacentral:rRNA from 1 species